rnacentral:rRNA from 1 species
UACGUAGGGUGCAAGCGUUGUCCGGAAUUAUUGGGCGUAAAGAGCUCGUAGGCGGUCUGUCGCGUCGGCUGUGAAAACCUGGGGCUUAACUCCGGGCUUGCAGCCGAUACGGGCAGACUAGAGUUCGGCAGGGGAGACUGGAAUUCCUGGUGUAGCGGUGAAAUGCGCAGAUAUCAGGAGGAACACCGGUGGCGAAGGCGGGUCUCUGGGCCGAUAUUGACGCUGAGGAGCGAAAGCGUGGGUAGCAAACAGG